UAGAAAAUAAGUUACUCGGUUAAUUAAUUAAUUUGUUAACAUAACCUAAGGCUUUGUGAAAGCGAAACAACUGCCAUUAGUGGAGCUUCAAUAUAGUGUUGCGGGAUCAACGAAAACAUGAAAGAGGAGCAAGCACAGGGUGCAGAUACAUCCAUGAGAGAUCCACAAAAACAUGUCAAUCCAGAUUUCAUGGACAAAGUUAAUGACCCCUUAUACAAGAAUCAAUGAGGAUGAUGCUGACUCGGCGGUAUGGAGUGAAGGCUCAAUGUCCAAAUACAUUGACUUCUCUGAUGCUCAACCUCACUCACAGACUUGCGUGUAAGAUCACACAUUACACUGAAGCAAGAAUCUCAAUCAGUAACUCUAAAAAGGAUUCAAAAGAUCUGGCGAUUUAAUAUUUUCAAGGCAGACUUUCAAGGCUACACUGAAUUUCAGGGAGGGAAACUGGUAAAUCGCUAUAGAGUAUCUCACUUGAGAUCAACAUUACAGUCCUUAGGCUAGUCACAAGAACUGAACACACAUGUGACCCCUAGCCCCGUUAUGAUCGUUAUUACUCGCAAGUGACAUGAAGGAUGUGUAUCAUUGUACUAUAGAAUAUACAAUUAUAAUUGUACCACUAAUCAUGGUCUUGUAAUUGAAUGAUAGUAAUACUACAUGUCCAUUUCACAAUAUUCAUGUGGAGAAAUAAAUUGCCAGCUCAUA